GCUACCAAUUUGAAUCUGUGUAAUAUUAUAAGGUUGAUUGUCGCAUUGUUGAGAUGAAUUGAAUGCAAUUAUGCAGGAGUCUUAAUUGGAAUACAAAUUGCUGGAAUUUUCGAAAUUUGAAAGGGACUGGGAAGUAAGGAAGACGAAGAUGGGUGGGGAAGAAAUGUUGAACAGUAAAAGAAAUUUAAUUUAAUUAUAAAAUGAUCCAUUUUUAAUUUGGGGGCUAUAUAUUAUUGGAUAAAAUAUUAAAUUUAUAAU
rnacentral:lncRNA from 1 species